AAGACUAUAGACCUGCGGAGUACCUGCGGAAGGAUCAUUCACAAUAAGUGUUUUAUGGCACUUUAAUUCCAUAUCCACCUUGUGUGCAACGUAGUUCGUUUUUCGAACAAAACAUCAACAUUUUAAUUAUCAACAGAUCGUCUGAAGUAUUAUAUGAAUAAAUCAAUUCAAAAUACAACUUUUAGCAAUGGAUCUCU
rnacentral:misc_RNA from 1 species